rnacentral:misc_RNA from 1 species
GUGAAUCAUCGAAUCUUUGAACGCACAUUGCGCCGUGUGGUAUUCCGCACGGCAUGCCUGUUUGAGCGUCAUUUCUCUCUCAAGCCUCCGGGUUUGGUAUUGAGUGGCAGGCCCCCGCGGGGGCGUUAGCUUGAAAUGGAUUGGCGGAGGCCACGGACGAUCAAUGUAUUAGGUUCUACCAACUCGUUGUCGCGUCCGGCGCAGCCGCCCAGAAACCCACCAAGUUUGACCUCAAAUCAGGCAGGACUACCCGCUGAACUUAAGCAUAUCAAUAAGCGGAGGA